AUGGGUCAAGGCCAGGAAUGGGGACUCAUACACUCUCCCUCGGUUGCCAACCUCCCGAUCCUUCUUGUAACAAAAGCCACAGACAAGAGCCUGGAGGACCUUUCAGUUCCUUUUAUCCUUCAGCCCUGGGGCCCCUUCGUGAUGUGCCCGUUCGCCUGCCACAGGCCCUGGGAGCACCGCCAGAAUCUCUUGUCAGCAUCCUGGAGGCCACAGCCCCUCUUUCCAACCCAACAUGUUCAGAACCAUCAUGUUGCCUAAUGGACCCUUUAGGUGCCCAGAUGGAAAUAACUGCACCCGCUCUGUGGCAUGGUGGUGAAGGCUGAGGUGAAAUGUCGUGUCAAGGAAAGGCAUGCUGUGAAUAUAAGACACUGGGAAUGGCGGGGAGUUCAAUCUCGGUGUCCAGCUAUGCCGAUCAGAAACCAGCGGGUGAUCUGAGGUGAACUUCCCAAGGAACUGUACCACCACCCUCCACUCUUAUCUCCCCUAGAAUGCACAACCUCCUUGCAGUCAGGCUGCCUUAUCAGUGUCCCCACAUGGCAAGUUCAGCCAGCUUUGUGCUUUGGUUCAGGCCAGGCUCCUCUGAAAUGAGUUUCCAGGCCUGCGACCCGCUUAGCACUGUUUGCCCUCCCUUUCAAGUUCAGUCUUCAGUUUCAGCUUUCCAAGAAGCCUUCAAACCACCCUCUGGAGGUGCUCUCUCUCCUGUCCUCCCCUCCUGAGCUCACCACCCUCCCUGUAAGGCAGCAGGCAAACUUCCCUGGAUGCCACCCUAACAGAAGCCAGGUGCCAACAUGGCUACGAGGUUGACUGUCAGCGUGCUCAUCUUAAAAGCCAUGAGAAAAGACUUUUGUUUUUAUUUUUGCUUUUAUUUGCUGUAAUUCAAAAACAUAUCCUUAUAUAUCAAGAGCCCAAAGCCUGGAAGCCACCAGAGAGGGAGUACACAUUCGAGCCAGCACAUAACACAAGAAGUAUGAGGGAAUAUGACUGGGUUUGGGGCUGCAGAGGAAGAGGGGUGGAGGGGACCCAAGACAAAGAGGCAUCUGUGUCUGGAUUUCUAGGCAACCCUUGCGUUGAAGCCCCACCUCCAACGUGAAGCCUGUGGGCUAGGAGCAAGGGGGCUGGGGUGAAGGAGGUGGGAUGCCUAGGAAGAUGGCCUGAGGGAGGCCUCAGGGUUCCAGUAGCCUCAGUGAGCUGCAGGAGGCCUCUGAAAAGUUCCUUGGCUCUCCAACCUCCCCCGGAAAGCACAUGCCUCAUGAGACCAGGGACCAGGUCAACAGGCAGCUCCCAGUGAGAUGGGGCAAGUGGAGAAUCUUGGACCAGUCUAAAUACUUGAGGAGAUACGUAAGACUGAGAGAGCCUGAGUUCCCUUGAACUGGAAAGAUGGCAUUUUUCCACCAUCCACACAAGAAAUUCCAUUUGGGUGUAAUCGUGACUCAAUGUCACACCUGCCAUCCAGCAGCUACCCGCCUCCCCUGGGUGACCAACCAUCCCAGUUUGCCCUGGACCGACCCGGGAUUAACACAUCGGCCCGAGAACUUCCUCAGUCCGGGUGCUAACAUAGCCUCUUCUCAGGAUGUCCCAGGUUGAGUGAGGAGCAGAGACUGUCCGUAUUCACAACAUGUUCACUCAACCAGCAAAGCUGAACACAGCUGUCCCCGUGCUGAAGUCUGAGGGGGGAGAACCAUUCUUAAAUAAUGAAAAUACAGCGUGAUAAGGGGAAAUAUAAAUUAAUGCAAUGAGAUAGUACUGCACACCAGCAUGGCUAAAAUCGAAAAGAUUGACAACAAUGUUGACACAGACAUGGUGCUCCAGGAACCUCAUAUGCACUGGUGGGAACAUAAGGGACGCCUCCAA